AUAGGGGAGCCGCAGGGAAACCGAGUCUUAACUGGGCGUUAAGUUGCAGGGUAUAGACCCGAAACCCGGUGAUCUAGCCAUGGGCAGGUUGAAGGUUGGGUAACACUAACUGGAGGACCGAACCGACUAAUGUUGAAAAAUUAGCGGAUGACCUGUGGCUGGGGGUGAAAGGCCAAUCAAACCGGGAGAUAGCUGGUUCUCCCCGAAAGCUAUUUAGGUAGCGCCUCGUGAACUCAUCUCCGGGGGUAGAGCACUGUUUCGGCUAGGGGGCCAUCCCGGCUUACCAACCCGAUGCAAACUGCGAAUACCGGAGAAUGUUAUCACGGGAGACACACGGCGGGUGCUAACGUCCGUCGUGAAGAGGGAAACAACCCAGACCGCCAGCUAAGGUCCCAAAGUCAUGGUUAAGUGGGAAACGAUGUGGGAAGGCCCAGACAGCCAGGAUGUUGGCUUAGAAGCAGCCAUCAUUUAAAGAAAGCGUAAUAGCUCACUGGUCGAGUCGGCCUGCGCGGAAGAUGUAACGGGGCUAAACCAUGCACCGAAGCUGCGGCAGCGACGCUUAUGCGUUGUUGGGUAGGGGAGCGUUCUGUAAGCCGUCGAAGGUGUGCUGUGAGGCAUGCUGGAGGUAUCAGAAGUGCGAAUGCUGACAUAAGUAACGAUAAACAAGGUGAAAAACCUUGUCGCCGGAAGACCAAGGGUUCCUGUUCAACGUUAAUCGGAGCAGGGUGAGUCGACCCCUAAGGCGAGGCCGAAAGGCGUAGUCGAUGGGAAACAGGUUAAUAUUCCUGUACUUGGUGUUACUGCGAAGGGGGGACGGAGAAGGCUAUAUCGGCCGGGCGACGGUUGUCCCGGUUUAAGCGUGUAGGUGUGUGUUCCAGGCAAAUCCGGUUCACUUUACACUGAGGCGUGACGACGAGGCACUACGGUGCUGAAGUGAUAAAUGCCCUGCUUCCAGGAAAAGCCUCUAAGCAUCAGGUAACACAAAAUCGUACCCCAAACCGACACAGGUGGUCAGGUAGAGAAUACCAAGGCGCUUGAGAGAACUCGGGUGAAGGAACUAGGCAAAAUGGUGCCGUAACUUCGGGAGAAGGCACGCUGGCGCGUAGGUGAAGGGACUUGCUCCCGGAGCUGAAGCCAGUCGAAGAUACCAGCUGGCUGCAACUGUUUAUUAAAAACACAGCACUGUGCAAACACGAAAGUGGACGUAUACGGUGUGACGCCUGCCCGGUGCCGGAAGGUUAAUUGAUGGGGUUAUCCGCAAGGAGAAGCUCUUGAUCGAAGCCCCGGUAAACGGCGGCCGUAACUAUAACGGUCCUAAGGUAGCGAAAUUCCUUGUCGGGUAAGUUCCGACCUGCACGAAUGGCGUAAUGAUGGCCAGGCUGUCUCCACCCGAGACUCAGUGAAAUUGAAAUCGCUGUGAAGAUGCAGUGUACCCGCGGCAAGACGGAAAGACCCCGUGAACCUUUACUACAGCUUGACACUGAACACUGAGCCUUGAUGUGUAGGAUAGGUGGGAGGCUUUGAAGCGUGGACGCCAGUCUGCGUGGAGCCGGCCUUGAAAUACCACCCUUUAAUGUUUGGUGUUCUAACGUAGGCCCGU
rnacentral:rRNA from 1 species